CCAUCGAUGCCCUGCAGCCGACCGCUCCGGCGUUCUUCCACGCGGGCGAGCAGAGGCACCCCAUGACGCCGCAUCCUCCUCUCCUUCUCCUGGCGUGCGAGGACCUCGACCAAGCCACCUCCAUCGCGACAUCGAUCUGGCCGCCGCCUCACCUGCGUCUCGAUCUAAUCUGGGGAGAGAUGGUGAUGGGUGGGGGCGGCGGAGGUAGGGGAGAGGGUGAGGGAGAUCCGGUGCAGAACUACCACACUGCAGACUUGAGGCGCCCUACCCCGGCCACCUCGACGACUCUGCCUCCUGAAGCACAACCUUCGCCACCUCCCUGCUGCACAGAAGCGACGAUGCCGCCGCCUCUCAACAAUCGACUUCCCGUGCUCCCGCAAAAAAAAACCUUCAGAUAGCGGAGCGGCAUCGCUCCCAUAGUUUUCAACAUCAGGUUGGGGUCUGCACCUUUGCUCCAAAAUUGUGUCAUGCCUGCCAGGUCAUGCAAAGUUAAUCCGAAGUUCCCUCUUGCAUUAUAUUGAUCUCAAAAGAAUAUGUAUUGUAUCAUAAUUAUAGGAUUACUGAUGCAUACCAUUGCGAUUAUUUCAGUGUCGUCACAGGUCCGUUCUCUUUUUCAUGAAGUUGGCUUGGGGCUUUGCCCACAUGACAACUUUUCGUUUGAAAUAUAGAAGAUAUAAAUCAGUGAAGUUGAUGUUAUAAACUCAUGUUUCGGCACUGCACGGAAAACUUUGAGAUCUAUAUUGUCAUCUCAACAGAUGAAGACAUGGAUUACAUAUUAAAAGUGCAUCAAUGUUCUGUCAUUCAACACCAUAUGUCUGGUAUAUCAUUGACAACCAAUGAUUUUUUUAUGGUUGAAAAAUACUUCAUCGCUGCACUAUGAUGGUAAGAUAUGUUUUGUCUUCCUCUAAGGAAACUUCAUACUUCCAACACUAUUUUAUUUCAAACUGGAGGGCUAAAUAAAUAUUGUAUAUAUGUCUUACCAAGACAUUUUCUAAGUAACAUAGUGAGUUCAAAUUGUUUUUUUUUCUGUAACCUUUGAUAGAAGGAUCCACACAUGUUUUGUUUUCUGCGUAUAUAUUUGUGCUACCAGGAUUGCAUUAUAUUUUUCCGAGUCCAGAGAGACGGACCUUGCUCAUGAUGGCAGUGAGUGUUAUGUUUGUUUUACUUGAUAAUCCUUAAUUUUCCAAUUCACAGCUUUGUGUACUGCUGUUAUACACACACUUCCAAAAGAAAGAACAUAUUUUGUUCUUUCUUCUUUUAAAAUUAAAUAUGCUUGAAUUUCCUUUUGUCGAUUUCUAAAAUUACCUUCCUGAUAGUUUCCAUACAUGCAUAUACCCUUUUUGGUCAUUAUAGAAAUAUAUUGUUUUAACGAUGCCUGUUAGCUAUAUGUCGUAUGAUUCCUUUGAUUUUGAGUUGAUAAUUGUGAUGUCAUUUCGUUAUGCGAAAACUGCUCUGCCUUGCACAAGAGGUUCUUAUAUACUCAGGAGAGUACUGAUGGUUAUGCUUGAUUGCGCAUCAAAGGUACAAUAGUUCUCAUGAAUGGUCAUACUCGUCCUCCUCUUGCCCCUGGUCGUCAUUGCCAUCGAUGGGAGACGAGAUCGUCGGCGACGCGCUGCUGGUGUGGGAUUUGGCCCAGGUGAUCUGGGGCACUGCUGCCACUCGUGCGGCAGAACGGCGGCUGCAGCGGUGCGUCUGGGGAGUGAUGCAUAGACCUGGUCUUGUGUUGGGCAGGCAAAGUCGUUCGACGGGAUGCAAAAGUUCUUCAUCCACUUCCAUGGCCCCAACGACAAUACGCCCCCAUGUAAUCUCAUCUCCUGCUCAACUAUUUUGCUUCUUUUCAUUGAUUAUAUAGGUGCAGAUUCAUACAUUAGUUGUUGAUACUAUUUGAAUUCCCUUUGUAUUUACUGUCCUAACACCCAUGAAAUUCACUUUAUGAAAUGUAACCAAGCUGUAUGAUUUUCAGUGCAAGAAUCCAUUAGAAUUCUAUACCUACAGUCAUGCUGAUAUGAUGGAUCUGGAUGAACCAUUUGAUCCCAUGUUUAGUUGACCUAUGGGCAACCCGUUUGGUAUUUUAGACCCAAAUUUUGUUGAGAGAGCCGCUCCUGGUUUCUUUGGUCGGGGAACUCAGGUUACACAUCGUAGGGAUGUGCGGCAGAUACCUAUCACACUAAUAAUCCCCAAACUGGAAGUUCUGGUCGGUGCAGGGUAUUAUCACCUCAUGCCAUUGUCCAUUGUACUUUUAGUUUACUUUUCGCUUCUACUCUAUUUUUUGUACACAUGGACUGCUUAUUGUGUUGUCUUUGAUUAUAAUUUUCUGCAAUAGAAAUAGUCACCACACAUGAUAAUGUACAUCUCUUUUAUAAGAAUGAAAUCUGUAACUCUCCUUUGGAUAAAUGCCUAUGAACAAGUCAUGACUGAACUAUAGUGCAUCCAAUUAGGUCAUGUACCAAACAAGCAAAUCCACUGUCCACUGCUUUGUACAUUAAAACAUUGCUCUUUGUUCUUGUUUUAAUCAGCAAGACAACAAUUCAACAUAAUUGUCUUUCUUUUAGAUGUUAUUGAAACUGCCUAAACACCCUGUGUUGCUACGGAUAUAGAUAGAUACCUACAGCACUCAUAUGCUCAUUUUUAGACAUAGGUGUAAUUAACCAAACUAACGUGACCUUAUUUUAAAUUUUGCUCGAUAUUAAAUUUUCACAGAGAUUUAAUUAAGAUUUAUUAAACCGCUCUUAUAUUAUAUGUUGGUUUGUUCCUUUAUACUCCAGAAGAAAAAAAUAUGACUAACAAAACUCUGUCAAUGAUUUGAAGUAUCAGUUUGCCUGCCUUUUAUUGCACUCACUGGAUAAUUGUCUGCUUUCAAAUUGUUAUGAUCUUUGAUCCAUAUAACUAAGUGAAUGUUCUAUCUUUUCAGCUUCUCCCUAUCUGUGUGUGUGUGUUCUGAUCCAUUUUCAGGAUAGAAAUGUUCCUCGGCACCAUAAAAGCAUCAACGGAGGAACAACCUUUUUUAUUUUCUGUUGCCUCUACUAUAUUGUUGUUGCCACAAGGAUUUACCUGGACACGGAGCCACCAUGAUGUGUUUAAAAAUUAUUACAUUAUCCUUUUCUAACCUGAUGGUGUUAGAAACAUCUUGGCAUUCAAGCAUGAUUAGUUCAUUGUUUAUUAAUUACAAUUAUGUAAAAAAAUCACUGAUCAUCGCUUACAAUUAUAUAGUAGUGAUGAUAUGCUUUCUAUCUGUCCUGAUGAAAUUCAGGAAAUUACUUUGCAAGGAAAAAUAUUAUCUAUAGUUAAAAGAUACAAUUCUUAUUGUGGAGAUCAACAUGUUCUUGUUAUAUCAUUUUGUGCACUACCUACCUCUUGAUAUACAAAUGUAGUAGGGUCAAUAAAUUUUGGAUGAGAAGUGUAUGUUUAGAGUUGGUAAAUAAGUUUACAUACCAUCGACUCUUCAUAAAUCAUGUAUUGUUCCUUGAUUUACUAGAAGAAAAUACUGUAUAUGUCAUGGAGUCAUCUUACUGAAACUUUUCUUCCGCAGAUACUACGAAUUCUUUGUGAGAGGAUGCUUCUGCUGGAGACCUGGAUCCAGUCCAAUGAUUUAUCCGACAAAGAGGCGAGCUCACAUGUAAACAUGUGUUCUUUUAAGACAGUAAGGAAAAACACCCAUCUUCUGAAAUGCUUUCCUCUAUUGUCGUAAUUGAAGGAAAGGUCUAAUGUAUUUCUAGACUUCUUUAUGCAUGUAUUGUGUGAAAAAGAAUGUGUUAAUGUGAUCAGAAUUAUUAAUAGGAAGUGUAUUGUAUCAUUAUUAUAGAACGGAGUUCUGAUUUUAAUAUACACGUUAAGCUCGUGGAAAGGUAAAAAAUAAUUCAACAUUCAAAUUCUUCUUCAUGCCAACCUGAAACUUGGAACACAAUAGAAUUUAGUGAACUCACUCUAAACAAAUUUUGUGAUGGUGUCCGCAUUCACUGGUCGCACAAUGCAGGAGAAGCAUUGUUGGGGGUUCCUCACUGUCACCAAGGGGAUGCAACCUACAUCAAUCGUGCAGAGAGCCACUGAUGUGUCCGUGCCCAUGUUGUGCUUCACCGAGCUUCGGGAAAAAUAAUCUAUUUCUUGGAUUAGUCCAUGCUUACAAGUGAAGAGUAUGUGCUUUGAUAGGAUCUGUAGCUACCGACUUUACAUCGUUUGCUGAUAGUUGUGGCCUGUCAUUACAAUUGUCACAAGGCAGACUUCUAUGUUCUACUUAGCAUAGACUAUUUCAUCGCAUGCCCUUUGACUUUGGAGUCAUGUAACAUAAAGAAUUCAACCUUGAUCUUGCUAGACCUGUCAAUGUAAUGCUAAAGUAGGUCCUGCUCUUGGUAGGUCCCUCUGUUAGAUGUAAACCUGCCUGUAGCUCAAACAAAUAUAUGGAAACCUGCAUUGUUAACGUAUUGUUCUCUCCUUAUGAA